GACGAACGCUGGCGGCGUGCCUAAUACAUGCAAGUAGAACGCUGAAGAGAGGAGCUUGCUCUUCUUGGAUGAGUUGCGAACGGGUGAGUAACGCGUAGGUAACCUGCCUGGUAGCGGGGGAUAACUAUUGGAAACGAUAGCUAAUACCGCAUAAAAUUGAUUAUUGCAUGAUAGUCAAUUGAAAGGUGCAACUGCACCACUACCAGAUGGACCUGCGUUGUAUCAGCUAGUUGGUGGGGUAACGGCUCACCAAGGCGACGAUACAUAGCCGACCUGAGAGGGUGAUCGGCCACACUGGGACUGAGACACGGCCCAGACUCCUACGGGAGGCAGCAGUAGGGAAUCUUCGGCAAUGGACGGAAGUCUGACCGAGCAACGCCGCGUGAGUGAAGAAGGUUUUCGGAUCGUAAAGCUCUGUUGUAAGAGAAGAACGAGUGUGAGAGUGGAAAGUUCAC
rnacentral:rRNA from 1 species